UACGUAGGGUCCAAGCGUUAUCCGGAAUCACUGGGCGUAAAGCGUGCGUAGGUGGCGUGUUAAGUGUGAUGUUAAAUCGUGUGGCUCAACCAUAUCGAUGUGUCGCAUACUGGCAUGCUAGAGGACAGCAGAGGCAAGUGGAAUUUGUAGUGUAGCAGUGAAAUGCGUAGAUAUUACAAGGAACACCAAUGGCGAAGGCAGCUUGCUGGGCUACUCCCGACACUGAGGUACGAAAGCGUGGGGAGCGAACAGG
rnacentral:rRNA from 1 species